GGGAAGUGAUGAGUGGUCAUUUACUUGCAAUUUAAAAUAUGCAAGAUGGGGUGUCCGCCCAAAGCCUUACGACAAUUGGGCACCUCCGAUUUUAAACCAUCUGAUCCC